CAUUUAGUUGCAGAAAUAUUAAUAUUAAGUGUAAUAUAUAUAUAUAGCUUAAUCUAGUAAUCAAAAUACAGUGUAAUAUCAAUAAUUUGAGGUUAUCAAGCCGGUCAAAUAUUUUUAAUAAAAAAUGCUGGUAUGUGGUCUGAGGCAAUACGUAUUUGGAGAGAGUACUUACCAAGUCAAGAAGCAGCUUUACGUCGUGAGUUAACACAAAAAAGCAUUGGAAAUGAUAGCACACAAACUCUGAAAGAAGCUGGAUGUUGGUUAAAAAUACCGCUUCACAAGUUGCUACAGAAUUAAGAUGGUAUAAGCAUUAUAGCUUACAAGAUCAAUACGUCAGGCAAAGAAGAAGGUUUUGGUCAGUCUAUUUUACACUACGGUCAAUUAGUAUUUCAUGCUUCUCCAUAUAGUCUUCAGGAUGUAUUUAGCUGUAUGGUAACAGCUAAAUUUAUACAUGUACUUCAAAAAGAUGUAUUUCGAGCUCUUUGUAAAUUAUCUAUGAAACCUCCACCAGA